AGGUGGCAGGUAUGCCUCCCUUGCCGGGGCUUUGGGUGGACCUGACAACCCCUGUGCCUCACUGAAGGGAUCUGAGGCUCCAUCCACACAGCAGUCUGUGAAGCCCUUUUGGCACCAGCCUUCAUGAUGCUGCCCCAGCAGGCAGAGAGGCAAGGAUGUGGCCAUCUUAAUCCAAAUGCCCGUGUGUCUCUCCAAGAUGUGUCGAAGUUAGAACAGAGCCUGUCUGUCACCUGAUGUCUCUCACCUGCCUCCCAAUCCCAGUCCCAGCCUGGCCUGGCCUGGCCUGGGCCUUAGCACAAGCUGUCCUCUGACUGGACCACCGAUGUCUCUUCCUCCUCCUCCUGCUGACACGGCAGCCUCAGCCCAUGCCACGGACACUCUAAGGCUCUCCUGUGGUCUUGCACCUCCGUGAAGCUCACCACUGCGUGUGUCUCCUUCAGUGCUCCGUCCCAGCACCUAGUGUGGCCAUGUGCCACACCUACAGAUGGCCAAUGAGAGCUGAUGGGUGGGCAGGUGGGUUAGUCCAUGGUGGGUGAGUGUUUGUGGAUGGGUGGUAAGAUGGAGGGAUGGGGGGGUGGAGGCUGCAUGGUUGGAAGGUGGCUUGCAGAGUGGAUGAGGAUCGGAUGGGUGGGUGGAAUCACAGAGAGAUGGAUGUGUGUAGCUGGGUGUGUUGGAGUGAGUGUGCGUGCGUGGCAGGUAUGCUGGGAAGGCAGACAGCGUCCAGGCUGCUGUGCUCAGGGUGUCCUUGUCAGCUUUGACUCCCAGCUUGGCUCUACUUUGGUGUCUUGGCUUCCAUGGAAGAAAACCACCUUGACCUUGGAGUCAGGAAGUGUGGGUCCCCUCUGUAAGAGAUCUGCUGUCCUGGCAUCUCUGUCCCUUCUGCGACAUGGACAUUUUGUACAUUCACUGGCACCCGGAGAUGGGAUGUAACCAGAAUGCCCCAGCCUGGUGCCCCUCACACUUGGGAGUGACCCUUUAGGCUAGCUUUAUAGCAACCCCAUAAACAGGCAGAGUGGCUCAGGAUCCCUCCCCAGCGGGUGACACAGCUGUGUGGCAGGUGGCAGGGCCCUGGGACCGAUGGCAAGUAGAUCUCUAGCCUGGCUGUUCCCCAGGUGCCCUGGCCCCACAGGCUGGUGAGGCAGAUGCUAGGGGAAAGGUCAGGCCUGUAGUCUGCCCAUGCAGAGAAAGUGGGUAGGGACUUUGGGUGAUAUCACAGACAUCAACACUCAGGGCUGCUCAGAGGUUCAUGUGGGCAGGACAUGGUCACCACAGCUGGCUGAAUGUGUCUGUUCGCUCAGGACAGCCGGUGGAGGACACACAGGCAUCAGACAGUUGUACAAAAUCCUUCCAAAUGCUCUUUAUGGAGUGUCCCAGGCAUGGGGGUCUCAGGGGCUGCAGAGCUCUUCCUGGCUCUGUGACCCUGCAUCUAUGUCCUCUUGCUUUCUGCUUCAGGGAUCAGGGGUCCUGGCUCCGUGUGGGAGCUGAGCCCUCAGCCUCCUGUCCCCCAGCGGGGGCCGAGACACCCACACUGCGGAGCUCACGGCCCAGCUUCUCCACUAUUUUGCGGAAGGGUGGUCGGCGCGCAGGCUCUGCCUCCCAGCAGCUACCCAUGAGGGUGUGCACAGAGCCUGGGCAGCCAUCGGGGGGCUCCAUGCGGUAACCCUUCUCCACAGCCUCUGAAACCUCCUUUAGCGACUGUGGACACAGGGGUGCAGCGUGGGUGGAGGGCAGUCAGUGACACAGGAUACACAGGCUGCCCCUCCCUCCCUAGGGUGCUGCUCACCAUCUUGGGGUAUGGGGCUCUUCCAUAAGAGAAGACUUCCCACAACAGCACCCCAAAACUCCAGACAUCCGACUUGCUGGAGAACCGCUGUUGGGGCAGAGGUCAGGGUGAGGAGAGCCCCUCUGGCCUCCCUGGAAACAAUCCCAGGCUACUCUCCUCCUCUGUCCUAAGCCCAGGCCUGCUUCAGAGAUGGGGAAUCAGGCUGAGGGAAGUUCUAGGAGGAAUGUUGUAGGCCUAGGGCUCACUGGAGAGGCAACCAUUUCCCCUUGAAGCUCAGAGAGGUUGAGGGGUGCACAUAGUGUCACAGAGCACAAUCAAGAACGUCAAGCGCCCUCUGAGGAACCCCAUAAUCCCAGAGAGAGGUAGAAGGCUGCUCACCCCGUUUUUGAGAGCCUCAGGUGCCGUCCACUUGACUGGCAGCCGGCUUGAGUCCAGCCCCUUGCGCUCUGCCUUGGCUAAGCCAAAGUCACUGACCUUGGCCACCAAGUCCUCAGAGACCAGGAUGUUCCGAGCAGCCAGGUCCCGGUGCACCAGCUUCUUGCUCUCCAGGUAUUCCAUGCCUUCAGCAACAUGACUAGAGACAGACAAGGCCGGCUCACCUUGGAGUCAGGCCUCAGUUUCCCCUUCCACUUUGGGACCUACCUUCCUGGAUGGAAUGUCACUUACAGAGCAAACUGCAGAAGCUGAGAGGUGCUCACAAGAGCACGGCCCCGCGUGCGCAGGAAGUUCACCAGGUUGCCCUGUUUAAGGGGAGGGACUUGGGGGUCUCCAGGCUGUUGGGCCACCCUUUCCUGUCCACCCACCCACCACCCUGCACACCUUGCUCACGUGCUCCAUGACAAUGUACAAGCCGUGGUGCAGGAUCACACCCAGGAGUCGCACUAGGUUCCUGUGCUGCAGCUUCCUGGGGGUGCAGGGAUGCAGAGGGGGACAUGAAGUGAGUAUACACCUGGGACCUCAGCCCUGGGACCUGGCCCCACCCCAACACUCACGUCAUCACAGCCGUCUCAUCCAGGAAGGCCUGGGCUGUCACAUCACACUUGAUAUUCUUCACAGCCACCUUCUGUCCCAGGUACUCACCCUGUAGGACGGCUGUGGAGGAGGACAGAGGUCAGGGCCCACCAGCAAGGCAGACAGACAGACAGACCUGCUGACCACCCUGCCUGGAAUCCCCCAGUGAGGGGCUGGGGGUGUGGCCUGGGCAGAGAGUUGGAAAUACAUUCAGGAGGCCUUGCUCCAUCCCCCAGGCCCUGAAUGAGGAAAAAAAUAAUAAUUCAUGC
rnacentral:lncRNA from 1 species